GUCGUAACAAGGUUUCCGUAGGUGAACCUGCGGAAGGNUCAUUAAAAGAUUGACCCCAAGCCGGAAACGGUAAAGGGUACACCUUCAAACCACCGUGAACUUUCCUUGUUGCUUCCGUAGGGCAGCGACUUUAUGUCGCCCGACUGCCAACGCGGUCGGAGAACUUGCGGUAAGACCAUAACCCAACUCUUGUUGUGUGUGCCUGUCUGAACAUAAGCAAAUUCUUAAAACUUUCAACAACGGAUCUCUUGGUUCUCGCACCGAUGAAGAACGCAGCGAAAUGCGAUAAGUAAUGUGAAUUGCAGAAUUCAGUGAAUCAUCGAAUCUUUGAACGCACAUUGCGCCCCAUGGUAUUCCGUAGGGCACGUCUGUCUGAACGUCAUUAUAAACUCAAGCUACGCUUGGUGAUGGGGUUGGCUUUGGCCAUCUCCCGCAAUCCGUCGGCGGAGGCCGCCGUGAGCCGAUAUGAUGAACAUCUUUAUUGAGCUUUGCGGUGAGCAGCCUGCCAAAUGAAUUCUACAGCUUGACUUCAGGUCAGACGAGGUUACCCGCUGAACUUAAGCAUAUCAAUAAGCGGAGGAAAAGAAACCAACAGGGAUUGCCUCAGUAACGGCGAGUGAAGCGGCAAAAGCUCAAAUUUGAAAUCGGCUUCCAAGUCGAGUUGUAAUUUGUAGAGGUGUCUUCAGUGUCCUGGUGGGGGUAUAUUCCUUGGAACAGGAUGGCAUAGAGGGUGAGAUCCCCGUCCGUACCCCGUCAAGAUCUACUACAGAAUGACCCUUCGACGAGUCGAGUUGUUUGGGAAUGCAGCUCAAAAUGGGUGGUAAAUUUCAUCUAAAGCUAAAUAUUGGCGAGAGACCGAUAGCGCACAAGUAGAGUGAUCGAAAGAUGAAAAGCACUUUGGAAAGAGAGUCAAACAGUACGUGAAAUUGUUGAAAGGGAAGCGCUUGCAACCAGACUCUUUUUCGGUUGAUCAUCCCUCCUUUUGGUGGGUGCACUCUGCCGUGAUUGGGACAGCAUCGGUCGGUGCGGCGGGACAAAGGUUCAGGGAAUGUGGCUCGCUUCGGUGAGUGUUAUAGCCCAGUUCGUAAUGCCGCCUGCUGCCGACCGAGGUCCGCGCUAUGCUAGGAUGCUGUCAUAAUGGUUGUCAGCGACC
rnacentral:rRNA from 1 species